rnacentral:rRNA from 1 species
GGGCGUAAGCGCGCGCAGGCGGUCAUUUAAGUCUGGUGUUUAAUCCCCGGGCUCAACCCCGGAUCGCACUGGAAACUGGAUGACUUGAAUGCAGAAAAAGAGAGUGGAAUUCCCCGUGUAACGGUGAAAUGCCUAAAAAUGUGGAGGAACCCCCAUGGCCAAAGGCACUCUCUGGGCUGGAACUGACCCUGAAGCGCCAAAGCCUGGGGAACCAACCAGAAUAAAUACCCUGGUAAUCCACCCCCUAAACCAAGAAUGCUAAGUGUUUGGGGUUUCUAUACCCUUGGUGCCGAAGUUAACACAUUAAGCAUUCCGCCUGGGGAGUACGGUCGCAAGACUGAAACUCAAAUGAAUUGACGGGGACCCGCACAAGCGGUGGAGUAUGUGGUUUAAUUCGAAGCAACGCGAAGAACCUUACCAGGUCUUGACAUCCAAUGGACUUUCCUAAAAAUAAUUGUUUCCUUCGGGACCUUUGAGACAGGUGCUGCAUGGCUGUCGUCAGCUCGUGUCGUGAGAUGUUGGGUUAAGUCCCGCAACGAGCGCAACCCUUGUCCUUAGUUACCAGCACUUUAUGUGG